UGACUGUCCACCAACUUAUGACAAUAAGUGCUUAGCCUCAACUUGUAAAUAUGGAAAAAUUUGGAAAAGGUAUAUUGAAAUCCUCGGAUUUAACAGGAUAUUGAUAUUGAAUGUACCCGAAUAGUAUUGAUGAAGAUAACAAGAAAACCAGCGUCUGAUAAAUACCGUCCAACUGAUUUGCAAUUGCAAAACCAGUAGUCUGCAGUAUAGUCAUAAAUCCUGGUAAUUCCCAAUCGGUUCAGUAAUUUCCGUACCUAUUUUCCUCUUCUAAGAGAAAACAAGAUCAGAAAGAUCAAAAUUACAAUUAGCGUAUUGAAACCACCAAACACUGUAACAAUGCAACACAAUUAUUUAAAGAAUUGAAUUUAAUUAUACA